GAUGAACGCUGGCGGCGUGCCUAAUACAUGCAAGUCGAGCGAACGGACGAGAAGCUUGCUUCUCUGAUGUUAGCGGCGGACGGGUGAGUAACACGUGGAUAACCUACCUAUAAGACUGGGAUAACUUCGGGAAACCGGAGCUAAUACCGGAUGAUAUUUUGAACCGCAUGGUUCAAAAGUGAAAGACGGUCUUGCUGUCACUUAUAGAUGGAUCCGCGCUGCAUUAGCUAGUUGGUAAGGUAACGGCUUACCAAGGCAACGAUGCAUAGCCGACCUGAGAGGGUGAUCGGCCACCCUGGAACUGAGCCACGGUCCCGGCUCCUACGGGAGGCAGCAGUAGGGAAUCUUCCGCAAUGGGCGAAAGCCUGACGGAGCAACGCCGCGUGAGUGAUGGAGGUCUUCGGAUCGUAAAACUCUGUUAUUAGGGAAGAACAUAUGUGUAAGUAACUGUGCACAUCUUGACGGUACCUAAUCAGAAAGCCACGGCUAACUACGUG
rnacentral:rRNA from 1 species